UGAACUCAUCCAGCAGAUAGAGGAACGGUGGGAGAUGCAGAAAUUUUGAAUUCAACAGCGCUCAAGACUUCCUCUUGCGAUCCGCGGCUCUGCAUCGCGCGCUCCGCUCAUUUUUUACGACGAAGACGGUUGUGAAGACUUUUUCGCGCGGUGUUUGUUUUUCUGUUAGGGCGGCUUAGAUUAUUUAUGUGUUAUGCAUGUUAAUGAGUGGGUGAUGGAAAAAAGUGAGCUUUUGCAUAUCAAUUUCAACUGAUGAUAAAUUUUCA